rnacentral:lncRNA from 1 species
AUAGAUUGUUUUUUUUUUUUUUUUUGAGAGAUAGAUAGCACACUACCCGUUUCGUUUAUUUCACUUAAAAAUAAAUUUAGCUGAAAAUGUGAAUAAAUUAGGAUUCGAACUUAGGUCUUGAAUACCAAUCACCAAGCCCUUUGCGACUUGCUCUAGGGAGUGUCGGUAACAUCGAUAGAUUGUUGGAAAAGCUUUUUUUAUUUUGG